AUGGCAACCAUCAGCGCCACGGCCGUCUUCGUCGCCGCCGGACCGCCGUGGUCUCCAGGGCUGCCUCGGCUGAGAGUGGCCAAGACCGCGAGCAGGCUGAGGUGCAGCUGCUCCAAGGACCUCAAGAAUAAGGCUUCUUCGGCUCUGGCUAUGGCCGUGGUCAAGGGCGCGCCGCUGCUCGCUGAGGCGAAAGCCAUGGCGGUGGCGGCGGCCCCGGUGCUGGCCCUGGCGCUGGUUCUGGCGCUGGUGGACGAGCGGAUGUCGACCGACGGCACCGGGCUGAGCCACGACCUGCUGGGGUGGAUCCUGAUGGUUGCCUUCGGCCUCGCCUUGUCCUACACCUACUACUCCUCCAUCCUCAAAGACGACAACGACGACGACCACUCAGCGCCGGCGGCAUCACGAUCUGAACACCGCACCGCCAUCUUCUUCUUCCGCCUGCAUGGUUACCAGUGA
rnacentral:rRNA from 1 species